GAUGAACGCUGGCGGCGUGCCUAAUACAUGCAAGUCGAGCGAACGGACGAGAAGCUUGCUUCUCUGAUGUUAGCGGCGGACGGGUGAGUAACACGUGGAUAACCUACCUAUAAGACUGGGAUAACUUCGGGAAACCGGAGCUAAUACCGGAUAAUAUUUUGAACCGCAUGGUUCAAAAGUGAAAGACGGUCUUGCUGUCACUUAUAGAUGGAUCCGCGCUGCAUUAGCUAGUUGGUAAGGUAACGGCUUACCAAGGCAACGAUGCAUAGCCGACCUGAGAGUAGGGACAGGCAGCAGUGGAGUGGGAAAGGCAACGGGCUAAGGCGGGAGGGAGCAGCGGGGAAUGAUGGCGAAUGGGCGAAUGAUGGAAAAAGUAAAGACGGGGGAAAGAAUAAGUGUGUAGGAUCGUAAAAAUAUCUUAAGAGUGAAGAACAACAGUCACAGGAACAGCUCCCAGCGUGACGGUGCAGUAACAGAAAGCAGCGGCUAACUACGUG
rnacentral:rRNA from 1 species